rnacentral:rRNA from 1 species
GGCAGUCAGAGGCGAUGAAGGACGUACUAACUUGCGAUAAGCGCAGAUAAGGCAGUAAGAGCCGUUUGAGUCUGCGAUUUCCGAAUGGGGAAACCCAACUGCAUAAGCAGUUACUGUUAACUGAAUACAUAGGUUAACAGAGCAAACCGGGGGAACUGAAACAUCUAAGUACCCCGAGGAGAAGAAAUCAACCGAGAUUCCGGUAGUAGCGGCGAGCGAACCUGGAUUAGCCCUUAAGCACUCGGUGAAGUAGGUGAACAAGCUGGAAAGCUUGGCGAUACAGGGUGAUAGCCCCGUAACCGACGCUUCAUCGAGCGUGAAAUCGAGUAGGGCGGGACACGUGAUAUCCUGUCUGAAUAUGGGGGGGACCAUCCUCCAAGGCUAAAUACUCCUGACUGACCGAUAGUGAACCAGUACCGUGAGGGAAAGGCGAAAAGAACCCCUGUGAGGGGAGUGAAAUAGAACCUGAAACCGUGUACGUACAAGCAGUAGGAGCACCUUCGUGGUGUGACUGCGUACCUUUUGUAUAAUGGGUCAGCGACUUAUAUUCAGUGGCAAGGUUAACCGUAUAGGGGAGCCGUAGCGAAAGCGAGUCUUAACUGGGCGCUCAGUCUCUGGAUAUAGACCCGAAACCGGGUGAUCUAGCCAUGGGCAGGUUGAAGGUUGAGUAACAUCAACUGGAGGACCGAACCGACUAAUGUUAGAAAAAUUAGCGGAUGACUUGUGGCUAGGGGUGAAAGGCCAAUCAAACUCGGAGAUAGCUGGUUCUCCCCGAAAGCUAUUUAGGUAGCGCCUCGGACGAAUACUACUGGGGGUAGAGCACUGUUAAGGCUAGGGGGUCAUCCCGACUUACCAACCCUUUGCAAACUCCGAAUACCAGUAAGUACUAUCCGGGAGACACACGGCGGGUGCUAACGUCCGUCGUGGAGAGGGAAACAACCCAGACCGCCAGCUAAGGUCCCAAAGUAUUGCUAAGUGGGAAACGAUGUGGGAAGGCUCAGACAGCUAGGAUGUUGGCUUAGAAGCAGCCAUCAUUUAAAGAAAGCGUAAUAGCUCACUAGUCGAGUCGGCCUGCGCGGAAGAUGUAACGGGGCUAAGCAAUACACCGAAGCUGCGGCAAUGUCUUUUAGACAUUGGGUAGGGGAGCGUUCUGUAAGCCGUUGAAGGUGAAUCGUAGGGUUUGCUGGAGGUAUCAGAAGUGCGAAUGCUGACAUGAGUAACGACAAAGGGGGUGAAAAACCUCCUCGCCGGAAGACCAAGGGUUCCUGUCCAACGUUAAUCGGGGCAGGGUGAGUCGACCCCUAAGGUGAGGCCGAAAGGCGUAAUCGAUGGGAAACGGGUUAAUAUUCCCGUACUUCUGACUAUUGCGAUGGGGGGACGGAGAAGGCUAGGUGGGCCAGGCGACGGUUGUCCUGGUUCAAGUGCGUAGGCUUGAGAGUUAGGUAAAUCCGGCUCUCUCUAAGGCUGAGACACGACGUCGAGCUACUACGGUAGUGAAGUCAUUGAUGCCAUGCUUCCAGGAAAAGCCUCUAAGCUUCAGAUAGUCAGGAAUCGUACCCCAAACCGACACAGGUGGUCGGGUAGAGAAUACCAAGGCGCUUGAGAGAACUCGGGUGAAGGAACUAGGCAAAAUGGUACCGUAACUUCGGGAGAAGGUACGCUCUUGAUGGUGAAGUCCCUCGCGGAUGGAGCUGACGAGAGUCGCAGAUACCAGGUGGCUGCAACUGUUUAUUAAAAACACAGCACUGUGCAAAAUCGCAAGAUGACGUAUACGGUGUGACGCCUGCCCGGUGCCGGAAGGUUAAUUGAUGGGGUUAGCGCAAGCGAAGCUCUUGAUCGAAGCCCCGGUAAACGGCGGCCGUAACUAUAACGGUCCUAAGGUAGCGAAAUUCCUUGUCGGGUAAGUUCCGACCUGCACGAAUGGCGUAAUGAUGGCCACGCUGUCUCCACCCGAGACUCAGUGAAAUUGAAAUCGCUGUGAAGAUGCAGUGUACCCGCGGCUAGACGGAAAGACCCCGUGAACCUUUACUACAGCUUGGCACUGAACAUUGAACCUACAUGUGUAGGAUAGGUGGGAGGCUAUGAAGACGUGACGCCAGUUGCGUUGGAGCCGUCCUUGAAAUACCACCCUUGUAUGUUUGAUGUUCUAACUUAGACCCAUUAUCUGGGUUGAGGACAGUGCCUGGUGGGUAGUUUGACUGGGGCGGUCUCCUCCCAAAGAGUAACGGAGGAGCACGAAGGUGGGCUAAUCACGGUUGGACAUCGUGAGGUUAGUGCAAUGGCAUAAGCCCGCUUAACUGCGAGAAUGACGGUUCGAGCAGGUGCGAAAGCAGGUCAUAGUGAUCCGGUGGUUCUGUAUGGAAGGGCCAUCGCUCAACGGAUAAAAGGUACUCCGGGGAUAACAGGCUGAUACCGCCCAAGAGUUCAUAUCGACGGCGGUGUUUGGCACCUCGAUGUCGGCUCAUCACAUCCUGGGGCUGAAGUCGGUCCCAAGGGUAUGGCUGUUCGCCAUUUAAAGUGGUACGCGAGCUGGGUUUAGAACGUCGUGAGACAGUUCGGUCCCUAUCUGCCGUGGGCGUUGGAAGAUUGAAGGGGGCUGCUCCUAGUACGAGAGGACCGGAGUGGACGAACCUCUGGUGUUCGGGUUGUGUCGCCAGACGCAUUGCCCGGUAGCUAAGUUCGGAAUUGAUAAGCGCUGAAAGCAUCUAAGCGCGAAGCGAGCCCUGAGAUGAGUCUUCCCUGACAGUUUAACUGUCCUAAAGGGUUGUUCGAGACUAGAACGUUGAUAGGCAGGGUGUGUAAGCGUUGUGAGGCGUUGAGCUAACCUGUACUAAUUGCCCGUGAGGCUUAACC